rnacentral:rRNA from 1 species
GGGCCUUGUACACACCGCCCGUCACACCAUGGGAGUUGGGUUUACCCGAAGACGGCGCGCCAACCUUUUAGGGGGCAGCUGGCCACGGUAAGUUCAGCGACUGGGGUGAAGUCGUAACAAGGUAGCCGUAGGGGAACCUGCGGCUGGAUCACCUCCUUU